GACGGGGACCCGCACAAGCGGUGGAUGAUGUGGAUUAAUUCGAUGCAACGCGAAAAACCUUACUACCCUUGACAUGCCAGGAACUUGCCAGAGAUGGCUUGGUGCCCGAAAGGGAGCCUGGACACAGGUGCUGCAUGGCUGUCGUCAGCUCGUGUCGUAAGAUGUUGGGUUAAGUCCGCUAACGAGCGCAACCCUCGCUGUAUGUUACAUGUGUCAUACAGGACCGCCGGUAUCAAGCCGGAGGAAGGUGGGGAUGACGUCAAGUCCGCAUGGCCUUUAUGUCCGGGGCUACACACACGCUACAAUGGUCGGUACAAUGGGUUGCUAAGCCGCGAGGUGGAGCCAAUCCCCCAAAGCCGGCCUCAGUUCAGAUUGCAGGCUGCAACUCGCCUGCAUGAAGCUGGAGUUGCUAGUAAACGCGCGUCAGCUAUAGUGCGUUGAAUACGUUCUCGGGCCUU
rnacentral:rRNA from 1 species